rnacentral:sRNA from 1 species
UUCAACACCCAUGAUCAGUUGGUGAUCUCUACCGAUAAUCGGUGAAGACCAACCGCGGUACUAGGAUGGGUGACCUCCUGGGAAGUCCUCGUGUUGCAC